UACGUAGGGGGCAAGCGUUGUUCGGAAUCACUGGGCGUAAAGGGAGCGUAGGCGGAAUGGUAAGUUAGAAGUGAAAUGCAUGGGCUUAACCCGUGACCCGCUUCUAAUACUGCCUUUCUUGAGUAUGGGAGAGGGUGAUGGAAUUCCAGGUGUAGCGGUGGAAUGCGUAGAUAUCUGGAAGAACACCAGUUGCGAAGGCGGUCACCUGGCCCAAUACUGACGCUGAGGCUCGAAAGCUAGGGGAGCGAACAGGAUUAGAUACCCGUGUA
rnacentral:rRNA from 1 species